AGGAACCGCCGGGGGCCAUGGACGGAGCAGUGAUGGAAGGGCCGCUCUUUUUGCAGAGUCAGCGCUUUGGGACCAAGAGGUGGAGGAAGACCUGGGCCGUGCUCUACCCGGCCAGUCCCCACGGCGUAGCGCGGCUCGAGUUCUUUGACCAUAAGGGGUCGAGCUCUGGGGGUGGCCGAGGGAGCUCGCGCCGCCUGGACUGCAAAGUGAUCCGUCUGGCUGAGUGUGUGAGUGUGGCCCCCGUCAUCGUGGAGACCCCCCCUGAGCCCGGCGCCACUGCCUUCCGCCUGGACACUGCUCAGCGCUCGCACCUGCUGGCGGCCGACGCGCCGUCCAGUGCAGCCUGGGUGCAGACCCUGUGCCGAAACGCCUUUCCGGUGAGGAGCUGCGGCGAUGCGGGGUGGAGGCAGUUACAGAAGCAGAGAAAUGGGGCUGCCUCAGACCGACCCCCGCUCCCCGCUGAGGAAAUUACGGGUUUCUCGAUGCUCUCUCUCUACUACAGAAAGGCAGCUGGACUCUGGCGCCUACCGAUAACCCACCUAAGCUUUCUGCCCUGGAGAUGCU
rnacentral:sRNA from 1 species